GUGCCAGCAGCCGCGGUAAUACGAAGGGGGCUAGCGUUGCUCGGAAUCACUGGGCGUAAAGGGUGCGUAGGCGGGUUAUUAAGUCAGAGGUGAAAUCCUGGAGCUCAACUCCAGAACUGCCUUUGAUACUGAUAGUCUUGAGUACGGGAGAGGUGAGUGGAACUGCGAGUGUAGAGGUGAAAUUCGUAGAUAUUCGCAAGAACACCAGUGGCGAAGGCGGCUCACUGGCCCGUAACUGACGCUGAGGCACGAAAGCGUGGGGAGCAAACAGGAUUAGAUACCCGCGUAGUCC
rnacentral:rRNA from 1 species